AGAGUUUGAUCCUAGCUCAGGAUGAACGCUGGCGGCGUGGAUAAGGCAUGCAAGUCGAACGAACUUUUUGUUUCCCGAGAUGAGAUUACAUCAAGUCAAAGGUCGUUUAAAGUUAGUGGCGAACGAGGUAGUAACACAUAGGAACUUCCCCCUAAGUCGUGAACAACUCAUCGAAAGGUGAGCUAAUACACGAUGGUCCCCGUGAGAUAAGAGAACCGAAGUUUAUAGUAAGAUUAAAUAAAAAUAUUUUUUAAUCAUUUAAUUUAUUUCGAUUUUGUUAUCUCACGGGGUAAAGAUUUCUCGCUUAGGGAAAGGCCUGUGAAGUAUCAGCUUGUUGGUAGUGUAAUAGACUACCAAGGCUAUGACGCUUAGGGGAGCUGAGAGGCUGACCCCCACCGAUGGGACUGAGACACGGCCCAUACACCUACGGGUGGCUGCAGUCGAGAAUCUUCCGCAAUGGACGAAAGUCUGACGGAGCGACGCCGCGUGAUUGAAGAAGCAAUUCGUUGUGUAAAAAUCUUUUAUGAGGGAAGAAGUUUAUUGACGGUACCUCAUGAAUAAGGGGCUCCUAAUCUCGUGCCAGCAGGAGCGGUAAUACGAGAGCCCCGAGCGUUAUCCGGAAUUAUUGGGCGUAAAGGGUGCGUAGGCGGUGAUGUUAGUCGUUUGUCAAAUCCUCGGGCUUAACCCGAGACUCGCGAACGAAACGGCAUUGCUAGAGAAUGUGGGGAGUAUGGGGAACUCAUGGUGUAGGGGUGAAAUCCGUUGAUAUCAUGGGGAACACCGAAAGCGAAAGCACCAUACUAACACAUAUCUGACGCUCAAGCACGAAAGCGUGGGUAGCGAAUGGGAUUAGAUACCCCAGUAGUCCACGCCCUAAACGAUGAUCUCUAGUCUUUCGGAGUAUCGACCCUCUGAGAGACGUAGCUAACGCGUUAAGAGAUCCGCCUGGGAAGUACGGCCGCAAGGCUAAAACUCAAAGGAAUAGACGGGGACUUGCACAAGUAGUGGAUUAUGUGGUUUAAUUCGAUGAUAAACGAAGAACCUUACCAAGGUUAGAAACCAAUUUGAAAGCCCUAAGAAACUAGGGCCCUCGCAAGACAGAUUGGCAGGUGAUGCAUGGCCGUCGUCAGUUCGUGGUUUGAAUUGUUCCCUUAAGUGGGGUAACGAACGCAACCCUCAUCGUGUGUUAUAAGUGUCACACGAGACUGCCCAGCCCUUUGGAUUUAAUUAAAAAGAUUGAAUCUAGUGGGCUGGGAGGAAGGGGAGGAUGACGCCAGGUCAGCAUGUCCCUUGAUACCUUGGGCUACACACAUAAUACAAUCGCAAUUACAACGGGCUGCGACGAGGUAACUCUGAGCUAAUCCUAAGAAAAAUUGCGCCAGUUCGGAUUGGGGGCUGCAACUCGACCCCAUGAAGUUGGAAUUACUAGUAAUCGCGGGUCAGAUAUACCGCGGUGAAUACGUUCUCAAGUCUUGUACUCACCGCCCGUCAAUUCAAGGGAGCCGGGAGUGCUCGAAGUCUCUCCAGAAGGAGGGCCUACAGUAAGCUCGGUGACAGGGAAUAAGUCGUAACAAGGCACGGGUAGCGGAAGCUGUUCGUG
rnacentral:rRNA from 1 species